GGUUAAGCGACUAAGCGUACACGGUGGAUGCCCUGGCAGUCAGAGGCGAUGAAGGGCGUGCUAAUCUGCGAUAAGCGCCGGUAAGGUGAUAUGAACCGUUAUAACCGGCGAUACCCGAAUGGGGAAACCCAGUGUGACUCGUCACACUAUCAUUAACUGAAUCCAUAGGUUAAUGAGGCGAACCGGGGGAACUGAAACAUCUAAGUACCCCGAGGAAAAGAAAUCAACCGAGAUUCCCCCAGUAGCGGCGAGCGAACGGGGAGGAGCCCAGAGCCUGAAUCAGCAUGUGUGUUAGUGGAAGCGUCUGGAAAGGCGCGCGAUACAGGGUGACAGCCCCGUACACAAAAGCGCAUGUGCUGUGAGCUCGAUGAGUAGGGCGGGACACGUGGUAUCCUGUCUGAAUAUGGGGGACCAUCCUCCAAGGCUAAAUACUCCUGACUGACCGAUAGUGAACCAGUACCGUGAGGGAAAGGCGAAAAGAACCCCGGCGAGGGGAGUGAAAAAGAACCUGAAACCGUGUACGUACAAGCAGUGGGAGCCCCACCACCAAAGCAUUCUCUGGUGUUGAAGGCCCUGCAAAGCAGCAUCGCGGUGGCGGAGCGUCGUUUGCGACGCCCAACACACAAAACAAGCGGUGAGUGCUUUGGGGUGGGGUGACUGCGUACCUUUUGUAUAAUGGGUCAGCGACUUAUAUUCUGUAGCAAGGUUAACCGAAUAGGGGAGCCGUAGGGAAACCGAGUCUUAACCGGGCGUUAAGUUGCAGGGUAUAGACCCGAAACCCGGUGAUCUAGCCAUGGGCAGGUUGAAGGUUGGGUAACACUAACUGGAGGACCGAACCGACUAAUGUUGAAAAAUUAGCGGAUGACCUGUGGCUGGGGGUGAAAGGCCAAUCAAACCGGGAGAUAGCUGGUUCUCCCCGAAAGCUAUUUAGGUAGCGCCUCGUGAAUUCAUCUCCGGGGGUAGAGCACUGUUUCGGCUAGGGGGCCAUCCCGGCUUACCAACCCGAUGCAAACUGCGAAUACCGGAGAAUGUUAUCACGGGAGACACACGGCGGGUGCUAACGUCCGUCGUGAAGAGGGAAACAACCCAGACCGCCAGCUAAGGUCCCAAAGUCAUGGUUAAGUGGGAAACGAUGUGGGAAGGCCCAGACAGCCAGGAUGUUGGCUUAGAAGCAGCCAUCAUUUAAAGAAAGCGUAAUAGCUCACUGGUCGAGUCGGCCUGCGCGGAAGAUGUAACGGGGCUAAACCAUGCACCGAAGCUGCGGCAGCGACGCUGAUGCGUUGUUGGGUAGGGGAGCGUUCUGUAAGCCUGUGAAGGUGGCCUGUGAGGGUUGCUGGAGGUAUCAGAAGUGCGAAUGCUGACAUAAGUAACGAUAAAGCGGGUGAAAAGCCCGCUCGCCGGAAGACCAAGGGUUCCUGUCCAACGUUAAUCGGGGCAGGGUGAGUCGACCCCUAAGGCGAGGCCGAAAGGCGUAGUCGAUGGGAAACGGGUUAAUAUUCCCGUACUUGGUGUUACUGCGAAGGGGGACGGAGAAGGCUAUGUUGGCCGGGCGACGGUUGUCCCGGUUUAAGCGUGUAGGUGUGUGUUCCAGGUAAAUCCGGUUCACUUUAACACUGAGGCGUGAUGACGAGGCACUACGGUGCUGAAGCAACAAAUGCCCUGCUUCCAGGAAAAGCCUCUAAGCAUCAGGUAACAUCAAAUCGUACCCCAAACCGACACAGGUGGUCAGGUAGAGAAUACCAAGGCGCUUGAGAGAACUCGGGUGAAGGAACUAGGCAAAAUGGUGCCGUAACUUCGGGAGAAGGCACGCUGACACGUAGGUGAAGUGAUUUACUCAUGGAGCUGAAGUCAGUCGAAGAUACCAGCUGGCUGCAACUGUUUAUUAAAAACACAGCACUGUGCAAACACGAAAGUGGACGUAUACGGUGUGACGCCUGCCCGGUGCCGGAAGGUUAAUUGAUGGGGUCAGCGCAAGCGAAGCUCCUGAUCGAAGCCCCGGUAAACGGCGGCCGUAACUAUAACGGUCCUAAGGUAGCGAAAUUCCUUGUCGGGUAAGUUCCGACCUGCACGAAUGGCGUAAUGAUGGCCAGGCUGUCUCCACCCGAGACUCAGUGAAAUUGAACUCGCUGUGAAGAUGCAGUGUACCCGCGGCAAGACGGAAAGACCCCGUGAACCUUUACUAUAGCUUGACACUGAACAUUGAGCCUUGAUGUGUAGGAUAGGUGGGAGGCUUUGAAGCGUGGACGCCAGUCUGCAUGGAGCCGGCCUUGAAAUACCACCCUUUAAUGUUUGAUGUUCUAACGUGGACCCGUGAUCCGGGUUGCGGACAGUGUCUGGUGGGUAGUUUGACUGGGGCGGUCUCCUCCUAAAGAGUAACGGAGGAGCACGAAGGUUGGCUAAUCCUGGUCGGACAUCAGGAGGUUAGUGCAAUGGCAUAAGCCAGCUUGACUGCGAGCGUGACGGCGCGAGCAGGUGCGAAAGCAGGUCAUAGUGAUCCGGUGGUUCUGAAUGGAAGGGCCAUCGCUCAACGGAUAAAAGGUACUCCGGGGAUAACAGGCUGAUACCGCCCAAGAGUUCAUAUCGACGGCGGUGUUUGGCACCUCGAUGUCGGCUCAUCACAUCCUGGGGCUGAAGUAGGUCCCAAGGGUAUGGCUGUUCGCCAUUUAAAGUGGUACGCGAGCUGGGUUUAGAACGUCGUGAGACAGUUCGGUCCCUAUCUGCCGUGGGCGCUGGAGAACUGAGGGGGGCUGCUCCUAGUACGAGAGGACCGGAGUGGACGCAUCACUGGUGUUCGGGUUGUCAUGCCAAUGGCACUGCCCGGUAGCUAAAUGCGGAAGAGAUAAGUGCUGAAAGCAUCUAAGCACGAAACUUGCCCCGAGAUGAGUUCUCCCUGAGACUUAGAGUCUCCUGAAGGAACGUUGAAGACGACGACGUUGAUAGGCCGGGUGUGUAAGCGCAGCGAUGCGUUGAGCUAACCGGUACUAAUGAACCGUGAGGCUUAACCUU
rnacentral:rRNA from 1 species